rnacentral:rRNA from 1 species
AGUGAACGCUGGCGGUAGGCCUAACACAUGCAAGUCGAACGGCAGCACAGUAAGAGCUUGCUCUUACGGGUGGCGAGUGGCGGACGGGUGAGGAAUACAUCGGAAUCUACUUUUUCGUGGGGGAUAACGUAGGGAAACUUACGCUAAUACCGCAUACGACCUACGGGUGAAAGCAGGGGAUCUUCGGACCUUGCGCGAUUGAAUGAGCCGAUGUCGGAUUAGCUAGUUGGCGGGGUAAAGGCCCACCAAGGCGACGAUCCGUAGCUGGUCUGAGAGGAUGAUCAGCCACACUGGAACUGAGACGCGGUCCAGACUCCUACGGGAGGCAGCAGUGGGGAAUAUUGGACAAUGGGCGCAAGCCUGAUCCAGCCAUACCGCGUGGGUGAAGAAGGCCUUCGGGUUGUAAAGCCCUUUUGUUGGGAAAGAAAAGCAGCAGGUUAAUACCCCGCUGUUCUGACGGUACCCAAAGAAUAAGCACCGGCUAACUUCGU